rnacentral:rRNA from 1 species
ACAGCAGCAGCCGCGGUAAUACGAGGGGUGCAAGCGUUAUUCGGAUUGAUUGGGUGUAAAGGGUGUGCGGACGGCUUAUUAAGUCACUUGUUAAAUUCUUCGGCCUAACUGAAGGUCUGCAAGUGAUACUGAUGAGCUAGAGGGUGGAAGAGAGAAGUGGAACUCUCGGAGUAGCGGUAAAAUGCGUAGAUCUCGAGAGGAACACCAAUGGCGAAGGCAGCUUCUUGGUCCAUUCCUGACGUUCAUACACGAAAGCGUGGGGAGCAAACAGGAUUAGAGACCCCGGUAGUCCCUGUCUCUUAUAC